UCCAUGCAACCGAUCACGUGGUCCAGU
rnacentral:piRNA from 1 species